UGUCUAUUAUUAACCGCCACUGAACGUGUGACAGCGCCGCGCUGCAGAUCCGCCCCCUGGUGGUGAAGCAUAAAAGCGCAAGUUCGCAGUGUCGCGUUCGGCACAAGACUUUCCGCUUCUCGUUGAACGCGAAAUACAAAGUAUAGCCUCCAGUUUCCAACGAUGCUCAGAUGUUUUCUGCUUAAGUGAUUUAAAGAAGGAGAUCUUUACUGUUUUCACAACAAGAUUGGAAUAAUUACGUCCCCCUUUCAUGUUUAGUGAAGCAACACAGCAAAACAGCACAUUUCAGGCCAGACGGCUUUGAAACAAUAAGAUUUUUUCAUGUUUUUCUUCCAGUGGUCUUAACUUUUUUGGGGAACAAUAAAGACGACGAACAAAACACGAAUAGAUAAUUAUCCCAAAAAUGGAGCUUUUAUUAAAACGGUUAUACAAACGACUCCCCACUGCUAAUCAGUGAAAAUGUUUUUUUUCUGUUUGGAAAUGAACCACAUUUGGCAUCCAAGUGUAUAAUAAAGGAUCACGGAGGAACAAUCACAGAGGAUCUCAUCUUUCUCGAAGCAAGCUGGAUUUCGUGCUUUGCCUAUUUUACGCUAUUAAGGUACAGUGAGCUUUUCCUAACUGACAGAGUGUGUAAUUCAUGUGCUUUUAUUAACCGUUAUCAAUAAAUUCUGCACUGCAAGGCUGUCCUGUGCGCUCUUUCUGCUAUACAGUGCAGGUAUUUUGCGGUUUUAUAUUCACAUUUUCAACGAGCGUGUCCCGUCACAAGGUAGGUCCUUAAAUCGCCAGUUUGUGUAAGUUUAUAUUUACGAAUUGCACAUGACUGACCGCCUGGUGCCGUAUCUCUGCUGGCUCCCCGCCCGCCCUUCAAGAGGAAUGUCUACGGCACUUGACAUAAAUGUUACGGUUUAUUAUAUCUGACACACUCAGCCCUUCCUUGUCAGCUCUGUUUUAGGAGCAUUAAAAGCAGAGAUCGAUAAACUCACAGUAACGAAUUUAUUUCAAAAGCAAAACUGCAUCACGUAUGUACCAGAUCACGUCCAAUGCGGUGCAAAGAGCAAAUGAUUCCACGUCACAUUCUCCCGUGGCUCUGAAUUCAUGCUAAGUGCCCAAUGUGGCAACAUUUGCUUGACAUUUCGAGAAAUAUCGCCACUGUUUAUUGGAUCAAAAAUAAUGUAGAUUCACUUGCUUGGCUGACAUUUCUAUGUAUAAACAAAAGGCAAUGGCAGCGUUUUUAAAAAAGGAUUAGUAUUGAAAAUAUUGUACCUUGAUUACACAAAAUCAUUAAUAAAUAAGCCAUUCACACUGAAUUUCAACAGAUUCGAAAGCGAUUUUGAUUUAAUUAAAUUAAACGAUCAUAUUAGUAUUGACCUGCUAAUGCUUGACCUGAUAGUGCAAGGUGUCAUUUUUCAAGGUAGUCGGAAUGUCUUAAUUUAGUGAGGAGGUAUUGACUGAUGGUCUGCUGAGAGAUUAAUUACAGCUACAGAAGUGGGGGAAAGUGGAGAGAAAAAAAAUCACUAAUGAACCAGGGUAUGAGUGCUUGGCGCUUGCAUAUUCAGACCGGAAUUAUCAAAUUGGUUUGUUUGCCAAAAGAAACUUCGGGGUAGGAUAAGCACAGAGAGGCUAUACUGGGACAGGAAAGGCAAAAAGUAAUUCUGUUAAAAAUGAACAGAGAUUCUAUUAUACGCUAACUAUUAUAAAGUAAGGACUCACUAAUUAAUAGCCACUUUGUAUGAACGUGUAAAUGUUUAUGACUGAACCACAAGUGUGUUAUUAAUCACAGAUGGGUCUGUGUGACAUGGAAUCAAUUCUUAGUCACUCAUAAGGACUGAAACACAGGAGGAACGUGAAAAACUGUCCGCCUGUUAGUUUCGUCUAUCUGGGCCAGAGUCUUCGGUAUCAUCUCCGGCAGUGUUUGCAUGGCGCUGCGUGUGAAGGCAGGAAACCGAUCGCGAGCAGAAAUCGUCUGAUCGCUUCGCAUAUGUUGUGAGCUUGGUCUGUGUCAAACAUCUUGUAGCUCCAUUUGUCAGAUUCGUCUACGAAAGAGAAGUCCCAGAAUAGUCUUAAUGUGGUACAGACCCGUGUCAGUGACAGACUGCACAGUCAUGAGAUGAACCCCAAGAAGGUCAUAUAAAUGUUCCGACGUGCUCAUGUUCCUCUGCGACGGACAAAAAAAAAAUCGCGUGAAGUGACUAGUUUUAUACAAUGUCUUGCUGAAAUGAUAAUCGGUUCACGACUGUGACAUUUCACCAGCUCAGCUCAUGUUAAAAGGUAACAUUCGCUGGGUUUCUUUCCAGGCGUCGCGUGGCAGUUAUGUUUUGGUGGAUAAAGACAGAGGUCCAGUGGCUGAGAAUGCAUCACCUUUCACCCGUUUAGGCCUGCCGGAUCCGGCGGGUGGCAUGACUGGACACGUGCUCGGAGAAAUUCCUGUCAUCUAGAUGACCGGAGCAUGCCACUUUUAAUAAGCCCGUAUAUCCACUCCCCUGACACUGCAAGAAUUCAGGCUAAAUAUAUCAGACACACCCCCUACACCUGCGCCCCCCUACCCUCCCUGCAUGGAGCCUUGUCCACAGGCAUUCAGCGCCUCUCCGCAAAGUCAGCGGAGGGCUGGCUCCUUUGGCCUGGCAUCCAAGUGCCUGGACAGGAAUUGUGUCCCAAACAGACCUCUGUUAUUCCAAAGAGCAAUCAGACAGAAAACGCACUCUGAACAUUGUUGAUAUCCAUCUAUCCAUCCAAUCAUCCCCCCAUCUUCUCAUCCUGGUCAGGGUAACUGGGGAAUAUUUUGGGAAUGAAAAAUAUUUGAAAAGCCUGUUCAUUACACCGUGAUACAAGUUCACACUGAGCAGGAUGACAAUGGCAGAUAACAAAGGAACGAACGCGACACGGAGGAAGUAGGAGAAGUGCUUGGUGUCACGGUGCUGUCAGGACGUUGACACAUUGUCCAAACUGGCUAAGCCGUAACACCACCGUCACGUCCAAACUCUCCUGCCACUUGCUUACAUAACGCCACUGCUGGGCUUGUGACAUGGCUGUACCUAUAAGAGGUCAAAAUGCCUUCGACUGUCAGGACAAUCACAAAUGUCCACAAAUCUGAUAUAAGCGUAUCUGCCAUUAAAACGUUUAACGAAAAGGAUGAGAGACACCAGAAGAGUUUCCAGUUUUUUUUACUUCUUGCAAUAAUUUACUGCAGGGAUGGGGAGUCCAGAGCCUGUACAGGGAACCCAGGAUGGGGCGCCAACCCAUCACAGGACACAUUCACACACACGCCUUUGGCCAGUUUGGCAACUUCAAUUAACCUCAGCAUGUUUUUGGACUGUGGAGGGAAACCAGAGAACCACAUCAAACAAUGAAAAUGUAUCGUAAAGAUGAAUGGAAUCAAGAAAAGGUUUUAAUUGACAAAUUGCAUAGAACUAAAAGAAUUCUUUGAUCAGGGUUGUUAGCUGGGGUUAUCUUGACGAAUCAGGGUUAAAGAGUAAGUGGAAGAAAAGGACGUGGGAGAUUUCCCCCCCCCCCCGAUCCCAGUUUGGUUGUAACAACCUUAAGACGAUACUCUGGAUUUCAAUCUUUAAAAUUACCGGACAAGAUUUGCCCAAUAAGACACAUAACUACAUAAAGCCCUCAAUUGGAUUAUCUAGUUUGGCCCAAAUACACGAUUAUCCAGGUAAUUCUGAUGAUCCUCAAUUGCAGAGGAUUUGUAGGUUGAAUAUGCACAGGCCCAAUAAGGUAGCAGGUGUUACAGCUUAGCCAGCCUUCUUUGAGUGGGGAAAGAAACCUACCAGUGAUGUAUUGGCUUGCCGUUUGCGCAACAGAAACCAGGUAAAUAUUACAAUACACUGGGAUUUUGCUGUCCCUUUGCCCCCACAAGUGGAUGCCACAACACACCUGUCACGCUUCUCCAUGUGCUGUUGCUGAACUGGGUUGGAAUUGGUUAGACCAAUCUCUACCCCUUCCACCUUAUUCUGCCUCCCCCGUGGCACCCAGUGAGCAAUGCAGUUAAAAAGCAAAAACGACGACUUAAAGUCUUGUAUAUGAAAUGUACGCAAUGCAAAAGGAAGACAAGACACAAAAGCUGAAGGUUGGAAAACUUUCUUUGAAUAAAAUCCAUAAACCCAGAGUUAGAUGGGUGAUUUAAAAAGUAACUUUAGCGAAAUAAUUCCCAGCUGCCAUCACACUGGAAAGCACUUCACAUUACAGUGAAAUUGUACACAUGUACAAUGCACCAGUUAAAAAGUUCAGCUGCAUGUCAUAAUACAAAAAUGUUACUCGACAUACAAUAUAACUUACUCCUUCAUAAUACUAUGUACAAGAAAUCAUUUAGCAAAAGGCCAUCACAAGAAAAAUAUUAACUAUUUACAGGUUUAUACACUGCUCUUCAGAGAUGCACAGGAUCUCCUGCUGCUUAAAGGGAAAGGAGAAAUAAAAUGAAGUCAGUAACUUCAAUAAGUUACAAGCAUAUCUACAUGCACACAAUGCAAGACGUGAUCCUCUACCUAUAAACGAUUGAGCAGCGUGUUCUGGAUGUCCUCAUACACCAUGUUGUAGAGGUCACCUUUGGAUUUGGUACCAUCCAGAUACUCUGGAAAACCAAAGAGAUGAAGAACUUUGGCAAAACUGAUCGACUACCAAGUGCGGUGGGAGAUGAAACACAGACGCAGAACUGAAACAUGUCGAUCACAUGAGCAAAACCAUAGAUUUAUGAAGCUCGGGGGUCACUCACCAAUGGCAAGGCAGCUGCUCUCCAUCUCCUUCCUGUGUUUCAGGUACAUCGGCCAGACGUGCCCAUCAAAGAGUCCGGGAGGAUCGGGAACAGUGUAAUUUCUUGUACUGGGGAUGGCAGUAAGGAAAAAUGAGCAGGCGUGUUGGGGGAGCUCAUUCCAAUCACCACAUGGAUACAAAGCUCACCUCCGCCUUCUCUUGCAUUCUUCAUAUGGAAUGGCGAUGUAGUAGCACUUGCUGUACACGUCAAGCAGCGGCCUGGAACCGAGAACCACUGUCAUUACAGAACGCACCAUUAAAAAGUGAGGAAACGUCAAGGUGCAUUGGAGGCCAUGCAACUCGAGAACCGUCUUCCACCCUGGAGAAGACCUCGGUGCCUGCUUUUAGAUAGUGACCUUGGCGCCUCCUGACAGCAUAUCUACAGUAGUUUGCCCCUAGUGCCUUGUCAAUGCACACACCCUCCAUAUCUCCAAAGCUGCAGGCAUGGAGUGAGUGGACACAGAAACCAUUAUGUGAACCGGGGGGGGGGGGGGGGGGGGGGGAUGUCAGGCCUCACAGAACUUGCCUCUUGACAUGGUUAUUGAUGGGCUUUAUAGGGCAAGUUGAGGUGAAGUCAUGAUGGGUAAUGGGGAAAGUUUGCUCCAAUAAUCCACACAAUUAUAACCCAUAAACUGACAUAUACCCUGAUGACACAUACCCAUUUAGAGAAGGGUCAUUGUGUUUUAUAGCUUAAGACCAGCAUUUGAUGUUAAUCAUGGAUUAAGGUCCAGAGACAGUAGGGGGACACUCACUGGUAAUUGUAGAGGAGAAAGCCCUCCACAAUCAGGAUGUGGAUCUCAUUCUCUGUGUGAGACACCUCAGCCGUGGGCGACACCGGGAUGCCAUGAGAACGAGCGAACUUCACCGGGUUCUCCUCCCACCCCUUAAUGGUGUUCACCAUGGACUCCGUGUCCAAAGCUGUAAUAACUGAGGAUGACAAAAGGAGAAAGAGGAACCAUUAAACGGGCCAGAAUUCAGAAUUACAUUCCACAGAACCCUGGAAGAUAAUAUGGUGACAAAAAUGACCGGAGGACUUCGAUUCCAAGUGGAGCCUCAUUACCAGCCUAGAGCACCAGAGUUCAUUAAAUGUUAAGUCCUACUGCGAAAUCCAGUCUUACCAUCGUACUGUUUAAAGCCGUCCGCUCCGACUUCUAUCUGAUCUUGUGGCUGAAAUAAUAGUGAGCAAUAAGACAUGGCAGUAACCUCAGGGUUACUGGUGGCCCUGCAGACCUGAAGACACGGAGAGCGACACACUGCACACACAAGCGGCCAUGCCAGGAACAGACAGCAGGGAGCCAAUCACGGACCUAUGAACAUGGGGCGGAUCCAAUCAGCGCAGACAUUGCCUCUUGAGAAUUUGCAUGGUGGCACGGAGCAGUCUUGCACCUGCUGUUCCAUGUCCAGCCAUGCAAGUACAGUCCCGAAAUCCAGGCUGCACAUCUGACUGUUACCCUAAAAAUAGCCAUGGGACUUGUCUUAAAUGGAAAAUCUCUGACACUUUCUUUUCUUUUACAUACAACUACAUUACACCUAGUACCGUUACAAUCUAACGUUAUUUGCCAUAGUAAUUAAAAAAUAUAUGAAAGCACAGAAAUCUCACAUUAUUUCAAACAAAUGAUGUCUUCCUCAGCUGUAACACGAUUAUAACCUGAAGAGCAUCCAAUAUCUGAGUUACAGACACUUGAUGUCAACUGCUUUACUGUACAAAGCAUGUUUGGAGAUUGUGCAUGACGACGCGAGUCAAAUAAAGCAUUACAUGUGUCGCACAGGGAGGGAGUACAUGUAAGAGAAUAAAUAUUUUAAGGUACUUCACGUUUUGGUGUAGCACUGGGUGUGACAUUUAAAUGCCAUUAUUUACUAAAGGUCAAUUGAUAUAAAUGUAAAUAAUAAAAAAAAUAACAUUUGAAUUGAAA